rnacentral:rRNA from 1 species
CCCAGACUCCUACGGGAGGCAGCAGUGAGGAAUAUUGGUCAAUGGGCGAGAGCCUGAACCAGCCAAGUCGCGUGAGGGAGUACUGCCCUAUGGGUUGUAAACCUCUUUUGCCGGGGAGCAACGGGGUCCUUGCGGGGGCCCAAUGAGAGUGCCCGGAGAAAAAGCAUCGGCUAACUCCGUGCCAGCAGCCGCGGUAAUACGGAGGAUGCGAGCGUUAUCCGGAUUUAUUGGGUUUAAAGGGUGCGUAGGCGGGCUGUUAAGUCAGCGGUCAAAUGUCGGGGCUCAACCCCGUACUGCCGUUGAAACUGCAUCCCUUGAGUGCGCGAGAAGUAUGCGGAAUGCGUGGUGUAGCGGUGAAAUGCAUAGAUAUCACGCAGAACUCCGAUUGCGAAGGCAGCAUACCGGCGCGCAACUGACGCUCAUGCACGAAAGCGUGGGUAUCGAACAGGAUUAGAUACCCUUGUA